UAAAAACCGAGAUUUCAUGGCGUGGCUGCUACAGUCUAGAAUACUCGGGAGCAAGUGUUCCAGAGUGGCCAAACACACAGCGAGCGUGACUUGGUGACCAGAAUUCCGCAUCUGAAGGUCGUAGGGAGAGAAAGAGUGGGAAGGAGGGGGCUCAGCCCAGAGGUGGUCAGACGCCCUCGCUGAGACACCUGCCCUUCCCCCACCUCCUGCAGGGAGGGGUGCGGCCCACAGGGCGGUGCGUGGGGCAAUUGUGCAGGAGCAGGGGAGACCUGCACGGGCCGGCAGGAGACCACGCCAGGCUUCCGGUGGUCCCCCUCCCGCUCCAGCUUCGGGGGUCUCGUGAGGCCAGCUGAGGUUCUGGUUCAGGAGGUGUGCCUGGGGUCUGGGGCCCAGUCCCCAUGCACGUCCAGGCGCCGUGUCGGUGGCCGUGGUGGGAGCUCUGUCCUGCUCUGCCUCGCCUCCUAGCUCAGAAGCACCUUCGCAGAGCCACAUGUCAGCUUCGUGGUUAAAGCAGGAGUGACGGCGUCGUGACAUGGUGACCAAGGGGGAGUCCUCAGGGCCACACAGAUGCGGGGCCCUUCCCAGCUGCAUCGCGCAGCCUGUGGGACCCGUGGGAGCCGUGCCAGGUGUCACCAGAAGCGGGCAGGAUAGCGCGGCUUCACGGGGGCCUUGCUGCUCUCUGGGCGCGGAGAGGCACUUCCUGUUGGGUGCCCAGCACACUGGAACUCCGCCUUGCAAACGGCUAUGUGGAUUCCCGAAGACCUGCGGCCUUUAGGAAGGGGCAGGUGCCGACGUCCCGGAGAGAAGUACAGCAUGCUGCGGGCGGAUCUCUCUGAACUUCACUGGUGGAUCUUGUCCCCUUACAAAAGCCUGCUGGUUGGUGGGGGAGGCUGGAGCUUGAAAGGAGUGCUCAGGUGCACCACGUCUCCGUUGUCAGAGCGUAAAGCGGUUCCCCGGGACUCUGCCCCCGCAGCCCCGUGUAAGUGUGGGGUGCCGUUUGCACCGCACAGGGACAGCGAACGGCCCGUGGGCUCGUCGAGCUGUCGUCUAGCCGGCCACUUGGGAGGGACUUGCGGGAGCCGCGUUGCUUCGUGUCCCCGUCUGGGCGAGGUCAGCCUGGCAAGAUGGGCCACCCUGGCUUGUGCCGCGUGCCCUCUCUGUGUCACUGAGAGUAGUGUGGCUUUCGUGGUGGGACAGGCGCGGCGAGGGACCUUCUCUGGAGCCGCUGUGGGCCGCUCCGGCCGGUUUUCCUCAGCGCGCGGGCAGCAACCCUCUCUCCCCCCUGUCCCCCCAGUCCCCCCAGUCCCCCCAGUCCCGGAGCGCGGGCAGUGUCCCCCGUAGGUGCGUCCCUUCAUGCGCUUUGCCCCUCUGCCGUUUCCAGGGCUCCUUGUGGACUGCUAGUCCUCCUUUCGUUUCGCUGGGUCCCCUUCAGGUCUUUUGGUCUCUGUUGCUGCUGGGCAGUUUGUGUGUCCUGUGUGUCGUCCUCACUGUCUUGUAACACUCCGGGGCCCCCCUGCUCCUGUCCUUCCAGUCUGGUCUCCGCUGGUGAAGUGUUUCCUUCCCUUUCCGAGUCCGCCUGUGCCUGCGUGAGGCCUGGCCAGGCACUUCUGAGCUCCCCUGACUCGGCCUCAGGCUCUGCGUUCUCCCUUCCGUCAUUGGCGGUUCCCCCCGCGGGUCACUCUGCGUCUCCGAGCGCGCUCUUCAGCCGCUGUUUCUGUCUUUCCCGAAGGUCUUGGUGUGGGGCUUGACCACAGUCCUUCUAGGAGUCCUCUUAGAGGGCGGGUUUUCAUUUUCGGGGUGGGAGUGGGACCAGGACGGUUGGAGCUCGAGAACUUAGGGUUCUCUGUCCCUCGUGACCACAGCACGCUGCCUCCCCCGUAGCGGCCCCUUCGACGUCACCUCUCUCUCUCUGUCCUUCCCUCCUGUAAACGUCACGUCCCCGUUCUGCUCACCUUGCGCUUUUGCUCCCGAGGCUUCCUGUCACCGCUGGCUCUUCCCAGGGACCUGGGGUCAGGCCUCCCAUGCCCCCUCCCAGUCCCACCGCUUCCGGCGGGGGUUUUGGAAUCCUCUGUGUCUGCGGAUGCCCGGUGGGUCUCGCUGCCCUUGGGAGUGGUCUAGGGCUAUGGGGCUGCCAUGUCACCUGGUUUGGCAGAAGCUGAUGUCCCCCCCCCCUUGCUUUCCUUUUCUUUUUUACGACUAUAAAAUAACUCA